rnacentral:ncRNA from 1 species
GACUGCCGGUGAUAAACCGGAGGAAGGUGGGGACGACGUCAAGUCAUCAUGGCCCUUACGAGUAGGGCUACACACGUGCUACAAUGGCAGAUACAGAGGGCAGCGAAGCUGCGAAGUGGAGCGAAUCCCUUAAAGUUUGUCGUAGUCCGGAUUGGAGUCUGCAACUCGACUCCAUGAAGUCGGAAUCGCUAGUAAUCGUGGAUCAGAAUGCCACGGUGAAUACGUUCCCGGGCCUUGUACACACCGCCCGUCACACCAUGGGAGUGGGCUGCACCAGAAGUAGAUAGCUUAACCUUCGGGAGGGCGUUUACCACGGUGUGGUUCAUGACUGGGGUGAAGUCGUAACAAGGUAGCCCUAGGGGAACCUGGGGCUGGAUCACCUCCUUA